GUUUUGUACUUCAGUGAGCUGUGUAUCUACGGCGCACGGACGGACGGUGGUGUAUACGUCCGUGCGGAUUGUUUAUACAGAAAAGUAACGAUGGGGAAAAUUUCCCAAUGACUACUGCAUGUACUUAUUGCGGCGGCCGUGUUGGGAAGUACUGCGCAUUCAUGUAACUUUCGGUUCCUUAUUAUUUUUUCGUGGCGGAAUACAUUGCACAACGUAUUGUCGCGUAGGCGUGGCGUGGCGUACAUUUGAACAAAGGCCUCGUAUUUGGACGUUUUGAAAUGAUCUUUACCACGCUUAUGUGAACUGCUAUUUUGCCUCCCAAUGCACUCCCUAUACUGAGUACAUACAGGGGUGUUCAAAAGUUCACAGGCCGCGAUGCCAUGAGAUUACAUAUGAUGUACAGGGGUGUUCAAAAGUUCACAAGUCGCGAUGCCAUGGGAUUACAUAGGAUGACGGCCUGGGAACUUUUGGACACCUCUGUAUGUGGUCUUAACAUGUAUUCUUGUAUGUCUGACUUUUAUGGGUCAGAGGUCAGAACGUGUCGGUGGUUUCAUAUUGUGCAUCGGUUCGCUAUUCAUUCAAACAUAUUACUUCUACAUAUGUUUUUGGUAAUUAACGAAGCGUGCACUUAUUGACAUUUUCAGAGCGUGCUGAUGCCAUGCCGUCCGGCGGUCCAAGUUACGGCAGCUACUGCUGUGUGUCGUGGUGCUUCAACAACGGCAAAACCCAGAAGAAGCCAGGAACGAGUUUCUUCCGCAUACCACGGGACGGCAGGAUGACAGCAUGGAUGCAGUACGCUGGAAGAGACGAUCUUCUGAGUAAGCCGGGCAGCGUAUUGUACGCAACCUACAGAGUUUGCAGCGACCAUUUCACUGCUGAAAGUUUCAUGGACCCUGGGCAUACAAGGCUUACAAAAAUGGCUGUGCCGAGUGU
rnacentral:misc_RNA from 1 species